AGAGUUUGAUCCUGGCUCAGGAUGAACGCUGGCGGCGUGCCUAAUACAUGCAAGUCGAGCGAACGGACGAGAAGCUUGCUUCUCUGAUGUUAGCGGCGGACGGGUGAGUAACACGUGGAUAACCUACCUAUAAGACUGGGAUAACUUCGGGAAACCGGAGCUAAUACCGGAUAAUAUUUUGAACCGCAUGGUUCAAAAGUGAAAGACGGUCUUGCUGUCACUUAUAGAUGGAUCCGCGCUGCAUUAGCUAGUUGGUAAGGUAACGGCUUACCAAGGCAACGAUGCAUAGCCGACCUGAGAGGGUGAUCGGCCACACUGGAACUGAGACACGGUCCAGACUCCUACGGGAGGCAGCAGUAGGGAAUCUUCCGCAAUGGGCGAAAGCCUGACGGAGCAACGCCGCGUGAGUGAUGAAGGUCUUCGGAUCGUAAAACUCUGUUAUUAGGGAAGAACAUAUGUGUAAGUAACUGUGCACAUCUUGACGGUACCUAAUCAGAAAGCCACGGCUAACUACGUGCCAGCAGCCGCGGUAAUACGUAGGUGGCAAGCGUUAUCCGGAAUUAUUGGGCGUAAAGCGCGCGUAGGCGGUUUUUUAAGUCUGAUGUGAAAGCCCACGGCUCAACCGUGGAGGGUCAUUGGAAACUGGAAAACUUGAGUGCAGAAGAGGAAAGUGGAAUUCCAUGUGUAGCGGUGAAAUGCGCAGAGAUAUGGAGGAACACCAGUGGCGAAGGCGACUUUCUGGUCUGUAACUGACGCUGAUGUGCGAAAGCGUGGGGAUCAAACAGGAUUAGAUACCCUGGUAGUCCACGCCGUAAACGAUGAGUGCUAAGUGUUAGGGGGUUUCCGCCCCUUAGUGCUGCAGCUAACGCAUUAAGCACUCCGCCUGGGGAGUACGACCGCAAGGUUGAAACUCAAAGGAAUUGACGGGGACCCGCACAAGCGGUGGAGCAUGUGGUUUAAUUCGAAGCAACGCGAAGAACCUUACCAAAUCUUGACAUCCUUUGACAACUCUAGAGAUAGAGCCUUCCCCUUCGGGGGACAAAGUGACAGGUGGUGCAUGGUUGUCGUCAGCUCGUGUCGUGAGAUGUUGGGUUAAGUCCCGCAACGAGCGCAACCCUUAAGCUUAGUUGCCAUCAUUAAGUUGGGCACUCUAAGUUGACUGCCGGUGACAAACCGGAGGAAGGUGGGGAUGACGUCAAAUCAUCAUGCCCCUUAUGAUUUGGGCUACACACGUGCUACAAUGGACAAUACAAAGGGUAGCGNNNNNACGAUAUGCUUUGGGGAGCUGUAAGUAAGCUUUGAUCCAGAGAUUUCCGAAUGGGGAAACCCAGCAUGAGUUAUGUCAUGUUAUCGAUAUGUGAAUACAUAGCA
rnacentral:rRNA from 1 species